UUUUAUUCUUCUGAGCAUUAAGGAGAUUCAGCUUUUCUCUGAAGACAUAAGGCUCAUUGCUCUGAAGCUACGUAACUUCUCCAAGUCUGAUAAACAAGGGAUGCGACUCUUCUCAAUUUUUAAGUGAAUUCAGACGGAUCUUAAAGCUUUUAUUUCUUAUCAAAUUGGCAAAACUUCAAGAGCUAUGCUGAAAUUGCAUCUGUUUGUGGGAAAAAGGACAAUUUCACACAAUUAUUUUACCCCCAUGAGCUGGAGUCAAGAGGGAGCCCAGGAACUCUGUUGAAUAAGACCAUCCACCCAACCAGAAUCCACUGAAGGAGUG